GUGUAUGUAUGUGUUUGUGUGUGUAUAUAUAUAUAUAUAUAUAGACAUAUAUAUAUAUAUAUAUACAUGCACACAUACAUAUACAUGCGGCGUG